CAAUCCAGUAGCUGAGCAUUAAGAAAAGGAGCCAGACGCGGUGCCUGCUCAGGCUGCUCAGUCGAUGUGAGGACUAUGAUGAAGGCUUCCCAACAGGACAGUCCGAAGGACACCCAAAUCCGGAGGGCUACAGAAUGACAGAAAGGAGCUGGGAUCAGCACCAGGAGAGCGACCUGGCUGUGAUCGCAGAUCUCAGGACUCCCAGCAGAAGCCUGUGUUUUCCAAAACAGAAGACAGAUGAAAAGACCCGCAGGCUACAGAGGGCAGAUGCUGCCCAGCUGAGAGCAUGGCCUCUCGCAGCUGCGGAGCCCACAGUUCUCAUUGUUUUGGAUGUGGGGUAGAAGAUUCCCACGUGGUAUAAAUGUGCCAUCUCACGUCAGUCGCAGGAUAAAUGUGGGCUCUCAAGUGCCAGAUUUUAUCUAAGGGACAAAAAUGAGAGGAAGAGAGGAAGAGGGAGAGAAAGCUCCAGCCUCCCCCGUGCCAAAGCCUCAAGAAUCAGCAAUUUUUGCCUUUUGCCAUUUGAUUGACUUUAAGUCACCAUUUAGAAGGGAAAACAGAACGUCAACAGAAAAACCUUGAACCAUCUUUAACCCUUUAUCUGGAGCUAAAAAUGAAUUUUAUUUCACUGUCUCACAGCAGCCUGAAAGGGACUGAAGGAAAGAUGGGGUGAUUUCUUCAGAAAGCCCCACACAACCAGGCAGGGCUCCAUUCAAUAAUAGAACUGCAGGACGAGAUAUGUUCUUGUUCUCUGGCUGGACCUCACUGGUGAUAUGGUUGUUAGUAAUGAAAAAGCAAUAGUCCUGUUAAUUUCCUUUAAUUCAACUCACCUGUUUUCCUAAUAGCUAAAGCCACAGAGAAUUCUCUCCUUUGCCUGGAAAGCUUCUAUUUCCCCUCCAUCCUCCUUUGAAGUCUUCCCUGACUCUGUGAUUUCACUGUGCUCCCAAACCAGCAAUGGAGCACUGCUCAAUAAAAAUAUGAUGUUAGC
rnacentral:lncRNA from 10 species